CCUACGGGUGGCAGCAGUAGGGAAUAUUGCUCAAUGGGGGCAACCCUGAAGCAGCUAUUCCGCGUGUAGGAUGAAGGUUUUCGGACUGUAAACUCCUUUUGUUAGAGAAGAUAAUGACGUUAUUUAUCGAAUAAGCACCUGAUAACUCCGUGCCAGCAGCCGCCGUAAUACGGAGGGUGCGAGCGUUACUCGGAAUCACUGGGCGUAAAGAGCGCGGAGGCGGGAUAGCAAGUCAGAUGUGAAAGCCUAUGGCUUAACCAGAGAACUGCAUUUGAAACUGCUAGUCUAGAGUAUGGGAGAGGGAGGUGGAAUUCUAGGUGUAGGAGUAAAAUGCGUAGAGAUCAAGAAGAAUACUCAUUGCGAAGGCGACCUCCUAGAACAUAACUGACGCUGAUGCGCGAAAGCGUGGGGAGCAAACAGGAUUAGAUACCCGGGUAGUC
rnacentral:rRNA from 1 species